CAGAGAGUAACUUAAACACAAAAACAGGGUUAUUCACUCAAUCCUAAACUGCGUUUUAACCUAAACGAAUCAAACAGCCAUGUUAUAAUUAAACUACACAUUUGAUUUUCUUGCCUUUUUGCUUGCAAAUUAUUCACUUGUAGAAUCAAGAUUCGGCUCAUUCACCAACCCAUUUUCAAUGCAUAACAGAGAGAGUGCAUUUAAACGCUCCUGACCCAUUGAAGAUCUCAGUUCAUUUUUCACACGUUUUAAUGUUGAAAACGAACGCUCACCACUGCAGUUGCUGACCAUUAAACACAAAUAUAUGCAAAGGGUCACAUGUGUGUAUGGAAAUGCACCGACUAGGGAUUGUGUGACCAGAAACUUUUACAUUUGUAGUUCUUGACUUUCAUUAAUUACUUUUUUUGCAGGGGAAGACGGGUAAAUUUUUAAAAGAGAGGCAAACUGCACAAUUUCAUCUGCAAACAAGGGGUCGAGAUCUUUAGGAUAUUGUGUCACUAGUGUUCUGGCUUUGGAGCAUAGAC